rnacentral:rRNA from 1 species
AGUGAACGCUGGCGGUAGGCCUAACACAUGCAAGUCGAACGGCAGCACAGUAAGAGCUUGCUCUUACGGGUGGCGAGUGGCGUACGUGUGAGGAAUACAUCGUAAUCUACUUUUUCGUGGGGGAUAACGUAGGGAAACUUACGCUAAUACCGCAUACGACCUACGGGUGAAAGCAGUGGAUCUUCGGACCUUGCGCGAUUGAAUUAGCCGAUGUCGGAUUAGCUAGUUGGCGGGGUAAAGGCCCACCAAGGCGACGAUCCGUAGCUGGUCUGAGAGGAUGGUCGGCCACACUAGAACUGAGACACGGUCCAGACUCCUACGGGAGGCAGCAGUGGGGAAUAUUGGACAAUGGGCGCAAGCAUGAUCCAGCCAUACCGCGUGGGUGAAGAAGGCCUUCGGGUUGUAAAGCCCUUUUGUUGGGAAAGAAAAGCAGCAGGUUAAUACCACGCUGUUCUGACGGUACCCAAAGAAUAAGCACCGGCUAACUUCGUG